ACUCACCGAGGUUGACGACCUUGAGCGCCGUGAAGAAGCGGUUCUGCCGGGCCAGGUCCUGCCAGGGAGCCUUGGAGCAGUGGUACUUGAUGAAGGGGAAGCAGCCGGUGCGCAGGACGUGGUAGUUGGCGCCCUGCACCGGCCAGUUGAAGUGCGAGAGGCCGAACUGGUCGUUGCGGACGGCGCUGUAGGGCACGCAGAAGGAGGUCCAGUGCGGCAGGCGCCGCUGCAGCAGAUGCCGCGUCAGCACCUCCGAGGCGCUGGGCUUGGGGCGGGCGGCGGCGCGCGAGGCCCACGGCCUACACAGCAGCAGGCGGAGCGCGACCUCGUGGGCCCUCCUCAGGGCCUCCAUGGCCCGCCGCGCCGGGGACGCAGGCUGGUGUCCGCAGCCGCUGGCGCGCAAGCGCGCCCCCGGGCGAGCGCCGGGAAGGCCAACCGGCGCCGCGCGGGUGCCCGAGAGCCCCCGGUGUGCGGCGGCGCGUGCGCACAGCGGCCCCGUGGCCUCCCGCUGGGGGUGGAGUCCGGGGGAUGGGAAGCGUGAGCUGCGCGAGGCGGAGGGUCACCUGCGUCAAGGAGCUGGUUUUGAGUGGCCAGGUGUGACCUCACGCCGUCAUUAGUAACUCGGGCAGGGGAGGGAUUCGGGGAGGUCUCAUCAAUUUGGGCCUGAGGAAAAUUCAGGUGGAAGACAAUUAAAUAACUAACCACCUCCGCAAGGUGCAGAACUCAAACCCAAGUCUCCCUCCCACGCCCUGGGCUCCAGGGAAGCCCUUGGGUGUUGUUGUUGAAACAGGACGAGGCGUGACCCCGGGUCUGCGUUGUUUGGCGUGGGUUCUCACUAUGUUGCUUAAGCUGGUCCAGAACUCAAGCCAGUCUCUCACUUCAGCCUCUUGAGUCGUUGGGAUUACAGAAGCCACCAUGUCCAACUAGACAAGAUCUUGUUGCCCAGGCUGGUCUCAAACUCCUGCGUUCAAAUGAUACUCUCGCCUUGGCCUCCAAAAGUGUUGGGAUUGCAGACCUGAGCUACUAUGCCUGGCUGAAUUCUAUUUCUAUUGGAUUGGUUGUAAAGAAGUGCAUUGUAGCCUGCAAAGGAGCAGGGCCAGUGGGGUGGAGAGGGCAGAAGUGCUACAGAGGCCCCUGCUCUCCACUGCCCUGACUGCUACUGUGCUGGAUGCCGUGUGAACCACAGCUGCAUCUGGAGGCCUUGGGCAGCACCUAACAGGAAGCCAGAGUAGGUCCUCUGAAGGUGUUUGUUCAAUGAACUUGUCAUCCUCCUCAACUUAAAGCCUUUAGCUUUUCCAAUUUGGAGGCACAAAUAAGUGAGAACUUGGGGAUCCACUGAGGUCUGAGGCACGGUGGUACCAGAGGAGAUGAAGGGGCUUUCAGCAUGAAGCUGGUCCCCUGUCGACAGCACGCUGAUUUUCCCGUUGGGCUCUAUCAGCAUGUCCACUGUGAGGUUGGUGACAUUGUCUGCAGGUGGGAAUGCUUCGAUCACACCCCCUGGUGGGAAAAACAUGGAGUAGGUGAAAGGACACAUGCAUUUUGUUUGACUUGGGCUCAGAUUCUGCAUCUGCCAUGUCUU
rnacentral:lncRNA from 1 species